rnacentral:rRNA from 1 species
GUAACACGUGGGUAACCUGCCUGUAAGACUGGGAUAACUCCGGGAAACCGGAGCUAAUACCGGAUAGUUCCUUGAACCGCAUGGUUCAAGGAUGAAAGACGGUUUCGGCUGUCACUUACAGAUGGACCCGCGGCGCAUUAGCUAGUUGGUGGGGUAAUGGCUCACCAAGGCGACGAUGCGUAGCCGACCUGAGAGGGUGAUCGGCCACACUGGGACUGAGACACGGCCCAGACUCCUACGGGAGGCAGCAGUAGGGAAUCUUCCGCAAUGGACGAAAGUCUGACGGAGCAACGCCGCGUGAGUGAUGAAGGUUUUCGGAUCGUAAAGCUCUGUUGUUAGGGAAGAACAAGUGCGAGAGUAACUGCUCGCACCAUGACGGUACCUAACCAGAAAGCCACGGCUAACUACGUGCCAGCAGCCGCGGUAAUACGUAGGUGGCAAGCGUUGUCCGGAAUUAUUGGGCGUAAAGGGCUCGCAGGCGGUUUCUUAAGUCUGAUGUGAAAGCCCCCGGCUCAACCGGGGAGGGUCAUUGGAAACUGGGAAACUUGAGUGCAGAAGAGGAGAGUGGAAUUCCACGUGUAGCGGUGAAAUGCGUAGAGAUGUGGAGGAACACCAGUGGCGAAGGCGACUCUCUGGUCUGUAACUGACGCUGAGGAGCGAAAGCGUGGGGAGCGAACAGGAUUAGAUACCCUGGUAGUCCACGCCGUAAACGAUGAGUGCUAAGUGUUAGGGGGUUUCCGCCCCUUAGUGCUGCAGCUAACGCAUUAAGCACUCCGCCUGGGGAGUACGGUCGCAAGACUGAAACUCAAAGG